UACGUAGGGUGCAAGCGUUGCCCGGAAUUAUUGGGCGUAAAGAGCUCGUAGGCGGUUUGUUGCGUCGGCUGUGAAAUCCCGAGGCUCAACCUCGGGUCUGCAGUCGAUACGAGCAAACUAGAGUGUUGCAGGGGAGACUGGAAUUCCUGGUGUAGCGGUGAAAUGCGCAGAUAUCAGGAGGAACACCGGUGGCGAAGGCGGCGAUCUGGACAGUGACUGACGCUGAGACGCGAAAGCGUGGGGAGCAAACAGG
rnacentral:rRNA from 1 species